GUGGGGAAUCUUGCACAAUGGGGGCAACCCUGAUGCAGCGACGCCGCGUGAGCGAUGAAGCCCUUCGGGGCGUAAAGCUCUUUCGACCGGAACGAUAAUGACGGUACCGGGAGAAGAAGCUGCGGCUAACUACGUGCCAGCAGCCGCGGUAAUACGUAGGCAGCAAGCGUUGUUCGGCGUUACUGGGCGUAAAGAGUGCGUAGGCGGUUUUCUAAGUUCGGUGUGAAAUCUCCCGGCUUAACUGGGAGGGUGCGCCGAAGACUGGGAAGCUGGAGUGUGGGAAAGGCAGGCGGAAUUCCUGGUGUAGCGGUGAAAUGCGUAGAUAUCAGGAGGAACACCGGCGGUGUAGACGGCUUGCUAGACCAUAACUGACGCUGAGGCACGAAAGCGUGGGUAGCAAACA
rnacentral:rRNA from 1 species